rnacentral:rRNA from 1 species
AGUGAACGCUGGCGGUAGGCCUAACACAUGCAAGUCGAACGGCAGCACAGUAAGAGCUUGCUCUUACGGGUGGCGAGUGGCGGACGGGUGAGGAAUACAUCAGAAUCUACUUUUUCGGGGGGGAUAACGUAGGGAAACUUACGCUAAUACCGCAUACGACCUACGGGUGAAAGCAGGGGAUCUUCGGACCUUGCGCGAUUGAAUGAGCCGGUGUCGGAUUAGCUAGUUGGCGGGGUAAAGGCCCACCAAGGCGACGAUCCGUAGCUGGUCUGAGAGGAUGAUCAGCCACACUGGAACUGAGACACGGUCCAGACUCCUACGGGAGGCAGCAGUGGGGAAUAUUGGACAAUGGGCGCAAGCCUGAUCCAGCCAUACCGCGUGGGUGAAGAAGGCCUUCGGGUUGUAAAGCCCUUUUGUUGGGAAAGAAAAGCAGCAGGUUAAUACCCCGCUGUUCUGACGGUACCCAAAGAAUAAGCACCGGCUAACUUCGUG